CCGGUUCCAUGACAACAGCCGUUGGUGGAUGGGUCGGGAAUUAUUUGUAAGCCUUUCCAGGCCAAAUGGUGGCGGUAAUGGGGCGGAAGCAGUUUGCAAACCCCAUACAAAACGAACUAGUUUUCCAGUUAUUGAUCUAGAAUGGAAUCGGAAAAGAUUCUGAUGAUAUCUGCAGACUGAAUAUUGGUUAAAUCAGUAAAGAAGUAAAGAAUAUGUUAUUUGCAGGGACGUGCGGUGAGGUUCGUGGCUGGUGAGGCUCUGACUUUUUCAGAGUCAGACAUUUGUCACUGAUCAUUUAUCACUUCGCUUUUUGAUUGUCGGUCCAGUUUUGAGAAACUUCUGAGCUUUGUUAUUGAAUCUACCAUUUUUGCAGUCAGAAAUGUUUUUUGUACAUAAACGAACUGAUGUAGUGCACUUGACUCUGCGUAAAAGAAGGUAACGGAAGCAUCCUGUAAACCCUGUGGGCUCACGCAUACGCCCCCUUCAGUGAGGCAGAGGUACUGGCUGCCUCAUUACAUGCUUUUUCAGCGCGGUUUUAUGUCAGAUCAGCAUAUAUUCAGUCUUGGUGCAAGACUAAAUAUGUUAUACACAUACAUGAAAUACAUUAACUAUUUUAAGUAAAGUGCGGACAUAUAAUAAAAGUGUCUACAAACAUUACAUUGGUGACAAACGGUGAAAAAGCAAAAAGGCAUGCAAACUGGGUUGAGGAUUGCGCAGUCUGGGCUGAGGCCCCAGUGCUCGCUACCUCAACUCGCGUAUCUCGUCUGCCCACGGUUACUCAGUUUGUGAGGGAUUGCGCAACCCAGGUGAGGCACCACUGCUCGCUGCCUCAACUCGCUUCUGGGAACAGGAAACAUGCACAUUUUGCGAUUUUGAUAAUAUAGAUGAUUUAAAUUAUUGGAAUCGUACAUAAAUUACAUUUAUAGCACAGAUCACUAGACAAAUAUCAAUAUUUUUUAUUUUUUAUUUUAUCAUCAUUUGUUUUUUUCUUUUCAUGAUGACAGGUGAGUCCCCUGACCGCACGUCACUGGUUAUUUGGCUGCGAUGUAGAAGGGAACGUGUUUGGAUUGUCGGAUAUGGAGAGACGAUAUUUUCUUUCGUUUUUAUAAAAAAAAAAACCUUUCUCUGGUCAAAAUGAGAAUCAUCGUCUGAUAGUAAAGCAGUUUCAUGGGAGAUGUUGAAUGUGUUAAGUGUCCGUUUAGCGUUGGUCCUGCGGGGGGCAGUAGUGCGCCCAUUAGCGUCUACACGGUCAGAUGACGUGAGUAGAAGAAGAAGAAGAAGAAGAACGCUGCCAGUCGUGGACGUGGCUGCAGCGACUGCGAAAGAAAAUGUUGCUUGGUCUCUUUCUCUCUCGUCCUGGUUUCCCUUGAAACUGAACCUGGGUCCAGAUGAAAAUGAUCACCUUGGAAGAGAUGUCAGGAUGACCCUCGACCUCCGUGAUCUUCACCAACCCCGACCAUGUGGCCGAGCAAGUACCACCAUAAAUAUAUAUAUAUAUAUAUAUAUAUGUGGUGAAGUGCAGUGAUGCAGGCUUAGUCAUGGCACACUGACCCAAAGAAUCGUGGCUGCUACGACCUCCAGCCGGUGGAGAAUGGACCGAGGAUGAGCACCAAGUGUCCCCUCCUGAAGCAAGGCCGUGGUAAAACUCUGUCCACCCCUUCGCUCACGGCUCGUUAAAUGAAAGGAACAUCUACCAGUUACCAGCCAGUAGCACUCCCUGGACGAGUGACGCUAAAAGAUGUCGUCGAUGUGAUUUUUUUUUUUAUAAUAAACUUGUAACAGUA